UUAACCCUUAUUAUUCUAUAUUCUAUAUGUUACUCAUAGUACUAUUUGUAACUACAUUGCAAUCUUCGCCAUUAUCUAAUUGGUAGCUACCAAGAGUUGACAGGCAGUGAUUCUCAGUCUAGAGGUAAAAUCAUUCUGAAACCUUAGCGAUUCUUGGCAUACCAACUAAAAGAAGGCUCUGCAUAUCUGUGAUUUCCCACCUCCGGCAAUUAUUAUUAUUCUAAGCAGCAUCAAGCGUUGAAUGUGUUUUAUUUGAAAAACGAUGGUGUUUUCUCUAAGCAGCUAUACGCGGUGGCAUUUCCUUUUGGCAAUUCCUUUACAGUGAGGUAGAUGUUUAAAAGCUAAAGCAGAUGCCUAUAUCAGAGGAGCAGUGACUUACCAUAACAAAUGCCUUGACAUUUUCUCUGCUUUUUUAAAUACUACCUUCAAGAAGCGCUUUAUCUCUUCCCGUCUAAUCGGAAGAAACUGGUCUAAUGUUCGAGUGCCUAACAAUUCAGUCAUGCAAAUUUUCUUCAUGAACUUCCAAUGGGGUCCAUAAGGUAUGGUAGCAAAAUCUGCGGAGCCAUAGGUGUGGAAGCAAGAACACAAGGUUUUGAGCCAAUGAAGAAGUAAAUCAAAGGUCCAUAGCGCGUUGAGAGCCUGUGGAAUGCUUGGUGUGGAAUAGGACCUAGAAGGUGCAUGUGUCCUAUGAUUGGGAGUGCUCUAGGGCUUGGAGGAAGGUGAGCUUUGUUGCGAGCUCGCGUGAUGAUUGUUUUGA